rnacentral:rRNA from 1 species
UACGGAGGGUGCAAACGUUGCUCGGAAUCAUUGGGCGUAAAGCGCAUGUAGGCGGUUUUUUAAGUCAGGUGUGAAAGCCCUGGGCUCAACCCAGGAAGUGCACUUGAAACUGGAAGGCUUGAAUAUGGAAGAGGGUCUCGGAAUUCCCGGUGUAGAGGUGAAAUUCGUAGAUAUCGGGAGGAACACCAGUGGCGAAGGCGGAGACCUGGGCCAAUAUUGACGCUGAGAUGCGAAAGCGUGGGGAGCAAACAGG